UAGUAGUUUGAUCCUGCUCAAGAGACGCUGGCGGCAGGCUUAACACAUGCAAGUCGAACGCCCCGCAAGGGGAGUGGCAGACGGGUGAGUAACGCUGGGAAUCUACCGUGCCCUGCGGAAUAGCUCCGGGAAACUGGAAUUAAUACCGCAUACGCCCUACGGGGGAAAGAUUUAUCGGGGUAUGAUGAGCCCGCGUUGGAUUAGCUAGUUGGUGGGGUAAAGGCCUACCAAGGCGACGAUCCAUAGCUGGUCUGAGAGGAUGAUCAGCCACAUUGGGACUGAGACACGGCCCAAACUCCUACGGGAGGCAGCAGUGGGGAAUAUUGGACAAUGGACGCAAGCCUGAUCCAGCCAUGCCGCGUGAGUGAUGAAGGCCUUAGGGUUGUAAAGCUCUUUCACCGGAGAAGAUAAUGACGGUAUCCGGAGAAGAAGCCCCGGCUAACUUCGUG
rnacentral:rRNA from 1 species